rnacentral:lncRNA from 1 species
GAGGAAAAUGUUUAGAAUUAUGUACUCUUGAACAUAAUCACCAUGUUUGACUUAGUGGACAAAGUGCCAUAAAGGGGCACUUGACUUAGUAAACUGUGAAACUGCAACUUAGAGACAUAGUGAUAGGCUAUUCAGACAUCCACUAUUAUUCCAAGUUUUAGGCAUGACGACGUAGUGGUAGGCCAUUGAGAUACUUGAUACAUUCCAUGUUUUAGACAUGAGGACUUGGUACUUGAGACAGAUCUUUCGCUUACUUGCCAUUGUGCUCAUUGGCACAUGCUUGUGAGGGUCGCUCCCUACAAGCCGGCACUCCGGAGAUGGCCAUCGCGACAUAUGGUCGCUCGUGCGGAAUUGGGCGCCGAAAUGGGAUGCCGUGGGGAAGGCUCAUUCCUAGAGUGGGGAUGUUGAUUACCACGGGGCCAUUAGGAACGGCGCAGGCCAGACAGCCUACGGGUGGGUCUUACGUGAUUGGAACUUAGUGACAGAACAUGCCAUUUGGACUUUGACUAGAAUAGUAAACAAUGAUAUUUUACUAUCUACAUUGUGGACAUUCUGUUGAUUGCAUAUACAUGCUUAUACAUGUUAGUCACACUCAUGUACAUACUUGUUGUAGUUGUUUUAUUACUUAUGCAAUUCAUGCUAAGUAGAGAUAUCAUGAUAGAGUACUACUCAUGGUUACAUACUUGUCCUUUAUUUAGCUUUUGUGUAUACUCGUACUUACUCUCUUUUGUUCAGUUUUGGGGCUAGUGGCGCAUUUCACUAAAGUCAGUAAUUACCCACUGGGAACUAUUUUUAAUAGUUCUCACGCCCCGUUUCUAUGGUUUUAUUUCAGAGCCCUCUACACCGGUGGAGGCACGGGACCGCGGCAAGGGGAUCGCUUAGCUAGCUAGCUGUCACGCCCCGGGGCCGAUUUUAAAAGCCUUUUUACAAUCCAUUUAAUUUUGAAAUCUCAGAGUCACAGAAGACGUGCCAUAUUUUUCAGCUUGGCCCACGUGACGUACAGACCCGCCACAAAUACAAAGUUCCUCUGUCCACUUGGACAGAGUCUCCUUUGUAUUUGCACGCCGUACCAACAAUACAACAGGAUCACAACCACAACCUACAUUUACCAAUCAACAAUCAAAUCGUGAUAUGCAUUUCCAUACAGCUAACAAUCCUUAGAGAUGAUGCAUGCCUCUAAGCACUCCUUAGGCGCUGGAUGAUGCAAUGCACAAUACAACAAUCAUCCUAUUUAAAAGUGCUCCCCACACGGAAGCUUUUAUUUUUAAACUCUAAUUCAUUCAUUCAUUAAAACCAUUCGAAAACCUUUUAAAACUGUUUCCCACACGGAAACUCUGUUUUGAAAACCGACUACCUCGAGGGGUAGAAAACCACGAUAUGUAAAUCCACAAAUACAAAUCCGAGAACUAUAAAACCAAAUCCACAAAUCCAUACUCUCAUGCAUAAUAGGAAAAUCAACCCAUCAAAACAUUCAAACAUCAAUAAUGAUCGUCUAACUGAACCAUUUAUUAAUAACUCUACUAAGUGUCAAAUGAAGAUAACCAGGGUGACGGUCGCUAUACCUGACU